UGGGGAAUAUUGCACAAUGGGCGCAAGCCUGAUGCAGCAACGCCGCGUGAACGAUGAAGGUCUUCGGAUCGUAAAGUUCUGUUGCAGGGGAAGAUAAUGACGGUACCCUGUGAGGAAGCUCCGGCUAACUACGUGCCAGCAGCCGCGGUAAUACGUAGGGGGCUAGCGUUAUCCGGAUUUACUGGGCGUAAAGGGUGCGUAGGUGGUCUUUCAAGUCGGUGGUUAAAGGCUACGGCUCAACCGUAGUUAGCCUCCGAAACUGGAAGACUUGAGUGCAGGAGAGGAAAGUGGAAUUCCCAGUGUAGCGGUGAAAUGCGUAGAUAUUGGGAGGAACACCAGUAGCGAAGGCGGCUUUCUGGACUGCAACUGACACUGAGGCACGAAAGCGUGGGUAGCAAACAGG
rnacentral:rRNA from 1 species